GGCUCAUUAUAUAAGUUAUCGUUUAUUUGAUAAUACUUUACUACUUGGAUAACCGUGGUAAUUCUAGAGCUAAUACAUGCUGAAAAUCCCGACUUCGGAAGGGAUGUAUUUAUUAGAUUAAAAACCAAUGCCCCUCGGGGCUCUCUGGUGAAUCAUGAUAACUAGUCGAAUCGACAGGCCUUGUGCCGGCGAUGGCUCAUUCAAAUUUCUUCCCUAUCAACUUUCGAUGUUUGGGUAUUGGCCAAACAUGGUGGCAACGGGUAACGGAGGGUUAGGGCUCGACCCCGGAGAAGGAGCCUGAGAAACGGCUACUACAUCCAAGGAAGGCAGCAGGCGCGCAAAUUACCCAAUCCCGACACGGGGAGGUAGUGACAAUAAAUACUGAUACAGGGCUCUUUUGGGUCUUGUAAUCGGAAUGAGUACAAUUUAAAUCCCUUAACGAGGAACAAUUGGAGGGCAAGUCUGGUGCCAGCAGCCGCGGUAAUUCCAGCUCCAAUAGCGUAUAUUAAAGUUGUUGUGGUUAAAAAGCUCGUAGUUGAACCUUGGGCCUGGCUGG
rnacentral:rRNA from 1 species